UACAGAGGGUGCGAGCGUUAAUCGGAAUUACUGGGCGUAAAGCGUGCGUAGGCGGUUAUUUAAGUCUGUUGUGAAAUCCCCGGGCUCAACCUGGGAAUGGCAAUGGAUACUGGAUAGCUAGAGUGUGAUAGAGGAUGGUGGAAUUCCCGGUGUAGCGGUGAAAUGCGUAGAGAUCGGGAGGAACACCCAUGGCGAAGGCAGCAAGCGCUGGGCGACACCUGAGCGCUGAGGCGCGAAAGCGUGGGUAGCAAAACAGGA
rnacentral:rRNA from 1 species